rnacentral:rRNA from 1 species
UACAUAGGGGGCGAGCGUUGUCCGAAGUUACUGGGCGUAAAGCGCGCGUAGGCGGUCCUUUAAGUCUGAGGUGAAAGGUUCAGCGCUCAACGUGAACAGUGCCUUGGAGACUGGGGGACUUGAGUGUGGGAGAGGGCAGUGGAAUUCCUGGUGUAGCGGUGAAAUGCGUAGAUAUCAGGAGGAACACCGACGGCGUAGGCAGCGCCCUGGACGACACCUGACGCUGGAGGCACGAAAGCUGGGGGAGCGAACAGG